UCCGGUUUGUCACCGGCGGUCUCGCAUGAGUCCCCAACUAAAUGCUGGCAACAUGAGACAAGGGUUGCGCUCGUUGCGGGACUUAACCCAACAUCUCACGACACGAGCUGACGACAGCCAUGCACCACCUGCACACAGGCCACAAGGGAACCAAUAUCUCUACUGGCGUCCUGUGCAUGUCAAACCCAGGUAAGGUUCUUCGCGUUGCAUCGAAUUAAUCCACAUGCUCCGCCGCUUGUGCGGGCCCCCGCCAAUUUCUUUGAGUUUUAGCCUUGCGGCCGUACUCCCCAGGCGGAACACUUAACGCGUUGGCUUCGGCACAGAGGGAUUCGACUCCCCCCACACCUAGUGUUCAUCGUUUACGGCUAGGACUAC
rnacentral:misc_RNA from 1 species